GAGGUGAAUUACAUGCUGCUGAAACCAGGAAGUGAGUUACAUGCUCUAGAUACCAUGAGAGGCAAUGGAUAAGAAAAUAGACUCUUGAGUGAGGAAAUCCAGAACAAAAAGAUUCCUAUAAAUGUAAGAAGGAUGGGACUGACAACCCAUAUGGGGAGAGAAUCCUGGCUGCUAUAGGAGAGGACUGAGACUUCACAUGCAGGGAGACUGAGAUAUUCAAGUCCUGCCAUUCAAUUACCACCACCAUAUCCUUGAGAAAUGCUCAGCUCCCCCAAGAAACCACCUCUUUGUUCACUGAGGAUGGGAGUCCCGGGUGCAAGAGAAAGCAUCAGCCAUGCUUCCUCCCUCAGCCCCCACUAACUAAGAUACUGACACUUUGGUGGGAGCCUUCAGCUUUGGAAGCACAACCUGCUGAGGCCAACAGUCUAACAACAGAAACGGCCCAGGUGGCUGGCGCUCAGAGAACGGCUGAAGACCAGGAAAUGGCUCAGGCCUGGGCCGGACAGGACCCCGAGAGGAGCUUUCUGAAGAAGCACAGGGAAGGACACACGUAACACAUUUGGGAUGCAACGAUGCACAAGGCUGCAGCAGUGCAGCAAAUCCUGCGAUGGUCUGGCUGUGACAGCUUGCAAACCCAAAACACAUGGAGUUCCAUAAAACCCUGAAGGAACUGCGGGUGCCGGAAAUCAGCAAUUGCUGGAAAAGCUCAGCAGGUCUGGCAGCAUCUGUGGGACAGGAUUCAGAGUUAACGUUUCGUGUCCAGUGAUGCUCCUUCAGAAAAUGGAGUUCUUAUUGACAAUUGAAUAAUCAAUUGCUCAUCUGUGAUUGAUUAACUCUGAGGGGAAAUCGGCAGAAAAGAAGUCAGGAGCUGCUGGAAGCGAUAUGUGAGCUGACUAAGAGAGGUCAGAAAAACCCAGCAAGCUUCCUGAAUAGCUUAGAGACAUUAAUGAGCUGGUGAGUGUUUUCCUAGAACUGGCCAUAAUAUAAAUUAGGGUGCUUUUGGUUAAUUGGUUGAAAGGAAUUCUGGAAAAGUACAUUAUCAGGACUAUUAUUGUCUGAGGGACAGAGUGUUCAAGGGAGAGUGCCUUGCUGAGAAUCAUCAUUUAAUGAUGAAUGAUAUUAGUGGAUAGGAUCGCUGGCCUCAUCUGUACAAAUAAACAGCAGCACAGGGUGGAAUUGUGUAAUGCCAGAUCUGUGCAGGGAGAGAUUGGAAAACUUGUGCCAUGUACUUCGUUUCUUUGCUAUGUCAAUUACUUAAAAUAAAAUUUACCUUUUUAUUUCAAGUACCCUUUGCCAGUUAAUUGAUGGUGUAAUUUGCAAUGGUCUGAUUCUUAUUACAG